GAGGGUAUAGCUCAGCGGGAGAGCGUGUGCUUAGCCUGCACGAGGUCCUGGGUUCAAUCCCCAGUACCUCCA
rnacentral:tRNA from 1 species